GAUGAACGCUGGCGGCGUGCCUAAUACAUGCAAGUCGAGCGAACGGACGAGAAGCUUGCUUCUCUGAUGUUAGCCGCGGACGGGUGAGUAACACGUGGAUAACCUACCUAUAAGACUGGGAUAACUUCGGGAAACCGGAGCUAAUACCGGAUGAUAUUUUGAACCGCAUGGUUCAAAAGUGAAAGACGGUCUUGCUGUCACUUAUAGAUGGAUCCGCGCUGCAUUAGCUAGUUGGUAAGGUAACGGCUUACCAAGGCAACGAUGCAUAGCCGACCUGAGAGGGUGAUCGGCCACACUGGAACUGAGACACGGUCCAGACUCCUACGGGAGGCAGCAGUAGGGAAUCUUCCGCAAUGGGCGAAAGCCUGACGGAGCAACGCCGCGUGAGUGAUGAAGGUCUUCGGAUCGUAAAACUCUGUUAUUAGGGAAGAACAUAUGUGUAAGUAACUGUGCACAUCUUGACGGUACCUAAUCAGAAAGCCACGGCUAACUACGUG
rnacentral:rRNA from 1 species